AGAAAGUAAUGGCUUACUACUUUUAAAAAAAUGUGCUGUAUGGAAUAUACUCAUCAACGACAAAAGCUAUCCCUAAUGGGAUAAUACAAACAUGUCUUCCUUAGGCAUGUUCUGGAAAGCUUGGUGUUUUUAUAGAUUUCAUUUCUCAUCAUCUUACUUUUUAAAUUUCUUUCCGAUAGAUUGUUUUUGUUUUUCAUUUUUCUCUACCCGGAAGUGGCUUUAAACAUGUCAGCUCCUCCGGAAGUGGAGAAGAACGCCCGGUUGUCGCAUUGAAGAGCACCUUGUGUGCUUCUGGGGCUGCAUUUUCAGAGUGCUACUGACUACCUGCAGUGCAGGGCACCUGGGGCCAGGGUAAGUGCCAUAUGCAGGCGGAGAGAUGGGAGGUAUCAAACCUCUGCUUUCUAAAUGAGGACUUGAUGCUUUUGUCAUGUUAAAGAGAGCAGACCUCUCCGGAGCUGCUUCCGGAGAAAACCGAAGUGGUAGCUGCAGUUUCCAUACAGUAAUUCUCCAAAUUUUCAUCUGUAACACAUUUACUGUGUGCCAUUUUAAUCUUCAGUUUAUCAAAAUUUAAUUUUGAGUUACUAAUUUUCUUAUGAGAAAAUUGUGAACAAUCCUCCUCAGAUAUGGCAGUAUUGCUUCAGAGUCAAACGCCCAUGCCAAUAAUUUGGGCUCCUCUUCACACCAGUCCCGAGCCAGUUGAGAGGCGCAGGGAUUAGAGAGGUGGAGACAAGCGAUGGGGAUAGCGGGGCAAAGUGAGCGUUCCUGAAGGUUUGUCCCUAAAAAACAAACCCGAGUCAGUGUGUGCUCAGGAAGCCCUGGGCUGUGUGUAUGUGUGCUUAUCAACUAGGAUUAAGAUCUAAUGAAGCCGACCAACUCUGGAAGGAACUUCCAAUCUGCUCUAAAAUGCUCUUCCUAAAAGAUAAAAGAUGUGAGGGCCCCUGAGUCUAAGCAGUCUAAGUCUGUACAAACACCCAUCAGUGCUGUGUUUAUCAGAGGUAGCAGGCGUUGGCUUACCGCAGCCUCAUGAAACUCAAUCUGCUUCCCUGGUCCUUCCUAGUAAAUAAAUGGCGUGUUGCAAGUAGCCGCAAUUGUUCUAUAAUAAAAAAAUGAAGUGCUACACCUUAAACAGACUUCAAUACUAUUACUUUAUACAUAGUCACUGUCAAAUAAACUUGAAAUAAUUUUCUCUCGGAGACGAAAUAUCUAAAUGCCCUAUGUCUUUUCAGGCAGCUGAGGGUAUCUGUUCUCUCCUCUUCCCUUUGGGGGAAAUCAGCAGAGCACAGCUUUGACUGGGCUGAAAGAGCACUGAAUCCAGGAAAGACCAUCUGAAUGAAAGUCCGACUCUGCCUGACACAAGUGCCCUUCCUUGGACAGCCCUAUUGGCUCUUCCACAACGAGGAGUUCCCGUGGCUCAAGUAACAAUUUCACGGAUUCGAGGAAGAUGAUCACAAGAGAGAAAGUUUCUUUCUGGAGCACUUGCCUGGGAAAUGAGAACAAGCCAUCUGUUUGUGCCCAUUUCCUGCCAGAGGGAUGGCGCCCAGGUAUGGAAGAUCAAAGCCCAACUGUGUGAGGAAGUAAAGACAGCUGUUAUCAAACAGCCUCCAAGAUGAGCAGACUACAUUCCAACUAUUGCCAUUUCCUGGAUCUCUACCUUAAUUCCUGCCAAGUCUGUCCAUAACAAUACCCAGACACAAGGACUUUUUCCCUAUUUAUAUUCAAAGCUACAGUAAAGUGAAGGUGUUUUCCAACAAAAACAAACACCAAAACACCCAUGAACACCUUCUUUUUCAUUUUUGUUCAUGGUUAAUUUCUACAAAAUAAUGCUCAAGACAGCAUUACGUCUCCCCCUCCUGUGUAAAUGGCAUGUUUGACAGCAUAAACUUUUAAAGCCCUUUCUGAACUUGAUUCUCAAAAAUGCUGUGUUGGUCAUUGGAAUAGAAACUUACUAAUUUUCCCCCAUCAGAAAGGAUUAGGUAGUUUCAUUUGAAUAAAAUAGUGCUGAGUCUCAUCGGAUAUAGACCCAUCUCCUUUGAGCUUCUAUUCCGAAAGCUGUUUUCAACCUCUAGGAAAUUCAUGUUCAGGUCACUUUUAGGGGCUAUAACAAGGAGAAUGAGUCUUGAUGAUUUCUCUGCUUGAGUAUGACAACCUCCCCUUUUAGCGUUAGGAUUUAAGAGACAAGAGAAUGGCAGUAUCACCAUAUAUAUUACUGACUAAACAAAGAAGGUGAAUUUGUAGCUGAAGGACUACUUUCAGGUUUCUAAAUGGAGGCAGGAGAAUUUUUAUUUUCUGCUAUGCACUGCCUCAACAACUGUAUCGCUCUCCCUUCCCUGCAUGAACUCAGACCGACACAAACUUAUUUCUCAUUUGUGCUUUUCCAGGCAAUUAUUAUUGUUGCAUAUAAAAUGAAUGUUAAACAUGUUUUCCUUUGCCUAUAAUCUGUCCCUCAUGAAAAAAAAAAGAUGUAUGUGUCUUUAAUGCUACUGAAAAAAUGCCACUAAAUGUCUUUUUGGUAGUUCCUCUCUGUCAAUUAAAAUCUCGACUUCGGGAAGCUGAGUUUGCAGUGAUCAUUUUAGAGAAGGCAAUUCUGAAUUUAGCUCAGAACUGCACACAAGAGAAUGGAUUGGGUGAGCCCUAGGAAAUGAUUUAGAAAAAUCUUUUUUUUUUUCAAUUAAAAAAAGUGUGGCAGUACUAGAGGCCAAAGAUGCACACUCCACUUGUAGCACCAUCUGGCUUCAUCUAUAAACGAUUAUCACUGCACAAGAUAACCAGUCGUAAAAGAUUGUGAAAAUAUUGUAAAAGAUUGUUAAAGACUUAGAAAAUCCAUCAGAAGUGUCUCAGUAUCCACCACUAAAGAACCAAAUGAGAGAGAAACAGGCAGUCCUACUUAAAGACAGGGAAGAUAUUCACAGGCACUUGUACGAUAAUUUUACGAAGACUUUACGGAAAAUUUUAAAUUAGGAUGAUUAGUAAUAUGGAUGGAAACCACUGAGACAAUGGAAAAUCAAAAUAUCACAUAAAAUUAGAAGUUGUUAAUUUACUUCAAGGAAACAUUUAAUAUUUUCCCCAUAUGAUCCCAUUAGGAAUUCACAUACCCAAAUCCCUGUGGCUAAAGGAAAGGGCUGAUUUUAUGUUCAUAUGUUUAGAAUUCUGAUGAACUAUCACUACUCCAAAUACCCGAAAAUGGGUACUUGUUAAUUCUAAUGCUUUUUCUUUUAUCUCAAGAGUGUAGCACCUCUAAGAGUUCUGAAUUUCACUUCGACAUGACUAUGCCAACAUGUUACAAAGUGAUAAUAAUUAACACGGUUUAGUACUGACACAAAGAUAAUGUUGUUAGAAGUGUGGGGCAAGGAUGGUCUUUUAAGUAAAUGGGACCGGGUCCACUGGACAUCCAUAUGGAAAAAAGUGAAUCUUGACUCCCCACCUCACACCAUUCAAAAAAAUAUAAUAAUAAAUUCCAGUAGACUAAAGAGCCAAAUGUGAAAGGCAAAACAAAAAAACUUCUAAAAGGAAUCAGCAGGCAAAUAUCUUCAUAAACUUGGACAAACAAGUAUUUCUUAAACAAAAAGUACUAAACGUAAAGGAAAGAACUGGUAAACUGGAUUACACUAAAAUGGAAUGUCUGUUCAUCAAGCACACUGGUUAAGAGAGUAAAAAGGUGGCCACAGUCUAUGAGAAGACACAUGCCACACACAUAGCUGAUAAAGGUCUCAUAUCCAAAAUAUAACUGCAAAUCAAAAAGAAAAACACAACCUCAACAGAAGAAAUGGCAAGAUACUUGAAUGGGCAUUUCACAAAAGAUGAUAUGCAAAUUGCCAAUAUUGAAAAAGUGGUCAAGCUCAUUAAUUAUCAGGAAAAUGCAAAUUAAAGCUAAAAUCCAUCAGAAAGACCAAAAUUAAAAAGACUGACGAUACGAGGUGUGGCUAAGGUGUCGAGCAACUGCGAUUCCAUACACUGCUGGUGGGGGUGUAGACUGGCACAGGUGCUUUGAAAGUCAGUUUUGUGGAAUCUACUAAAGCUGGACAUAUGCUCACCCUGUAACCCAGCAGCUCCAUUCCUAGGUAGACAUCCAGCAGAAAUGUGUACAGAUAUUCACCAAAGAACAUAUACAAAAAUGUGUGCAGCAGCACUAUGCAUAAUAGCCAAACGCCCAUCAACAGUAAAAUGGAUUACAAUGUUGUAGUCUACCCACAUGAUGGAUUAUACAGCUGGGAGGAGAAACUUGAGCUGCAUGCGACCAUAUCAAUGAAUUUCACAAUUGUAAUGUUGAAUGGAGGAGGCCAGGAGGAAGAGCAUAUACUGUAUGAUUCCAAAUAUACAAAGUAAAAAAAAAAAUGCACAAAAUUAGAAAACAAGAGAAAGGUUACUUUUGCUGGGGAUUAUGACUAGAAUGGAGAAGGGAGCUUCUGGGUGCUAUCUUUGGGGUGCUUCUUUCUUUAGGUGCUAGGUACAGGAUGUGUUCACUUUGUAAAAAUUCUUUGAUAGGUACAUUUUUGACGUGUAUGUCAUUAAAAACAGAGAAUAUGCCUGAUCCAUUAAUUGGUGAGACAAAGGAAAAGGAAGGAAGGCAGGCA